rnacentral:rRNA from 1 species
AUACGAAGGUCCCAAGCGUUAUUCGGAAUCACUGGGCGUAAAGAGUACGUAGGCGGUUUGGUAAGUCAGGUGUGAAAUCCCGGAGCUCAACUUCGGAACUGCAUCCGAUACUGCCAGACUUGAGUAAUGGAGAGGCAGGUGGAAUUCUCGGUGUAGCAGUGAAAUGCGUGGAUAUCGAGAGGAAGACUAAUGGCGAAGGCAGCCUGCUGGACAUUUACUGACGCUGAGGUACGAAGGCUAGGGGAGCGAAAGGGAUUAGAUACCCCAGUAGUCC